rnacentral:rRNA from 1 species
GACGAACGCUGGCGGCGUGGAUUAGGCAUGCAAGUCGAACGGAGUCGAUCGACGGAAGCCUUCGGGCGGAAGAUGGUUGACUUAGCGGCGGAUGGGUGAGUAACGCGUGGGCAACCUGCCUCGAAGACCGGGAUAACAGACCGAAAGGGCUGCUAAUACCGGAUGUGGUCAAGGAUCCGCAUGGAUCUUGAUUAAAGGGGAAACCCGUUUCGAGAUGGGCCCGCGUCCUAUCAGCUAGUUGGUGAGGUAAAAAGCUCACCAAGGCGACGACGGGUAGCCGGCCUGAGAGGGUGACCGGCCACACUGGAACUGAGACACGGUCCAGACUCCUACGGGGGGCAGCAGUGGGGGAAUCUUCCACAAUGGGCGAAAGCCUGAUGGAGCGACGCCGCGUGAGCGAAGAAGGCCUUCGGGUUGUAAAGCUCUGUCUGGAGGGACGAACAAAAAUGACGGUACCUCCGGAGGAAGCCACGGCUAACUACGUG